ACGAAUAACGCGUGUAAAGAAAUUCAUACGCAGAGCUAUGGAAUUCUGCUCAUAUUGAAUCAACGAUGAAUCCAAUAUGGACGUCGCGGUGGAUCUGCUUGGAAAUUUCAAUGCCCGAUAACGCGAGAUCUGAUUUCAUAUAUAUUUCCGAACUAUCACGGAUUCAUUUCACGAGGGUGCAGCGUGAGAUGGUUCGUCUUGCGACUUGGGAGAAAAUCAUUUCAACCCCUAGACCCAUGGCUGAUCCUUCGUCCGCAUCAAAUAAUAGGUGCCGGACUUAUCUCCCACGGGCUCAACGGUCUGACAUUUUUCACACUGUCGUUGAAGGGGUGAGUCACACCGCGAACGAUCGAAUGAUUAUUUGACGUGGAAAAAUUUGGACUGUAAAAACCGGGUCCUGGAGAAUCCGGGUCCCUGUAACACAGGCUUAUGUCCUCGAGCAUACUUCGCACC
rnacentral:misc_RNA from 1 species